rnacentral:rRNA from 1 species
UACGUAGGUGGCAAGCGUUGUCCGGAAUUAUUGGGCGUAAAGCGCGCGCAGGCGGUCUCUUAAGUCUGAUGUGAAAUCUCGCGGCUCAACCGUGAGCGGUCAUUGGAAACUGGGAGACUUGAGUGCAGAAGAGAAGAGCGGAAUUCCACGUGUAGCGGUGAAAUGCGUAGAUAUCUGGAGGAACACCGGUGGCGAAGGCGGCAUCCUGGACCAACACUGACGCUGAGUGAGCGAAAGCCAGGGGAGCAAACGGG